UCAUAUAGAAAAUAGCAAUAUAUAUAGCAUAUUGUCUAGGAUUCCCUCUAAUUAGUAAUGCAAGCUGACUAUUUACUUUUCUUGAAGUCAUUGCCGUGAAGCUUUUUCCGAGAGCGAAACUAUACUUUUCGUACUGCUUUCCUCAUAUUUUCCUAGAAAAAAUAUUUCCAUUAUUGUAUCAAUGGCUUUCGCAUUUUCUUGGUGUUGUAGAUAAUUCAAGGGCAGGCAAAGAAAAUUUAUUGGAGUGGCUCUUUUCUAGCAGUUUGACAAUUGGCAUCAAACUAUCAGGACUUUCGUUUGCUGCUCAUCAUCUCCCAUCCAACAAGUUAAUAUAUUUAUUCUUCUUUCAAACCUCUUCAACUGCAACAACCUAUAAUUUCAUUUUCAUGCUUGCAAUUACUUAUGUUGCCAUUUUCAUGGUGAAAGUAAGUUUAGGAGAGUGAAAGGCAGCUACAUAAAACCCUUUGGAGUGGCUCUCUUCUACCAGUUCCCCAUCAUAUUAUCAGCAACAUCUGUUGCUGGCUUUCCUCAUUUGUGGUCAUCAUCACCCAUCCAACAAGUUAGUCAGAAAAGGUUGUCGAAACUAUUUUUUUUAUUUCAUUUUAAAAAUGAUGGGUCGACUUUUUGGAAAGUUAAAAUGGAGUCGCCACCAAUCUUUUUUUGUUUAGGUAUGAUCGGAUCACCUAGAAAUUUGGGUUGUUUUAAUAAAACAUUUUGAUUUAUUAAAACAAUGAUUUUGGUCUACGAAAAUAUGAAAAAAUAGGCUCGGGAGUCGAUUACGUAUGAGGAAAGAUUAGCACCCUCAUUACGCCCAAAAUUGGUACCAAAUCUAUUAAAUACUGUCCUUUUGUCUAAAAUUAAAAAUAUUUUUGAAAUUUGGUUCUUGUUAAUAACAUUUGAAUAA